CGAUGUGGAAAUACGUUAGUUAACUAGUAUUUAGUUAGUUACGGCGGACUAUAAUAGCCAUCGGGCCACAACGAUUUUUUACAUGUACGCCGUAACUAAUGUGAUCAGAAUCCAUAAAUUGGCUAAUCCCUAAGCCGAUGCCAUAGGGCUAUUCCGGAGCGUCACAGUACUAUCUACUUUCUCUUCUUAACAUUGCACCCAACCAUAGCCAUCAAAGAUAAGUAGCCUCUCUCAUCAAGCCCUUCACGCAGAGACUCUUGAAUUGCUUCAAACGCAACCAGCCGAGUCGGCGACUCCGCCUUCAGCGCAUCAAAUAAUUGCCACCAGUGGUAACGUGACUCACCACCCAACGAACUCAUCCACCCAACAAACUCCAAAAAGCGCUCUAUAGAGCCGUUAAUUUUCAACUGUAGCACAACAACACAAGA
rnacentral:sRNA from 1 species